rnacentral:rRNA from 1 species
AGCAGCCCAGAGCCUGAAUCAGUAUGUGUGUUAGUGGAAGCGUCUGGAAAGGCGCGCGAUACAGGGUGACAGCCCCGUACACAAAAAUGCACAUGCUGUGAGCUCGAUGAGUAGGGCGGGACACGUGGUAUCCUGUCUGAAUAUGGGGGGACCAUCCUCCAAGGCUAAAUACUCCUGACUGACCGAUAGUGAACCAGUACCGUGAGGGAAAGGCGAAAAGAACCCCGGCGAGGGGAGUGAAAAAGAACCUGAAACCGUGUACGUACAAGCAGUGGGAGCACGCUUAGGCGUGUGACUGCGUACCUUUUGUAUAAUGGGUCAGCGACUUAUAUUCUGUAGCAAGGUUAACCGAAUAGGGGAGCCGAAGGGAAACCGAGUCUUAACUGGGCGUUAAGUUGCAGGGUAUAGACCCGAAACCCGGUGAUCUAGCCAUGGGCAGGUUGAAGGUUGGGUAACACUAACUGGAGGACCGAACCGACUAAUGUUGAAAAAUUAGCGGAUGACUUGUGGCUGGGGGUGAAAGGCCAAUCAAACCGGGAGAUAGCUGGUUCUCCCCGAAAGCUAUUUAGGUAGCGCCUCGUGAAUUCAUCUCCGGGGGUAGAGCACUGUUUCGGCAAGGGGGUCAUCCCGACUUACCAACCCGAUGCAAACUGCGAAUACCGGAGAAUGUUAUCACGGGAGACACACGGCGGGUGCUAACGUCCGUCGUGAAGAGGGAAACAACCCAGACCGCCAGCUAAGGUCCCAAAGUCAUGGUUAAGUGGGAAACGAUGUGGGAAGGCCCAGACAGCCAGGAUGUUGGCUUAGAAGCAGCCAUCAUUUAAAGAAAGCGUAAUAGCUCACUGGUCGAGUCGGCCUGCGCGGAAGAUGUAACGGGGCUAAACCAUGCACCGAAGCUGCGGCAGCGACGCUGAUGCGUUGUUGGGUAGGGGAGCGUUCUGUAAGCCUG